GCAAGUCGAGCGGUAAGGCUCCUUCGGGAGUACACGAGCGGCGGACGGGUGAGUAAUGCAUAGGAACAUACCCCAAACUGAGGGAUAAGCACCGGAAACGGUGUCUAAUACCGCAUAUGGCCUUCGGGUUAAAGCUUCGGCGGUUUGGGAAUGGCCUAUGUUCGAUUAGCUAGUUGGUAAGGUAAUGGCUUACCAAGGCGACGAUCGAUAGCUGGUUUGAGAGGGCGGAC
rnacentral:rRNA from 1 species